rnacentral:rRNA from 1 species
UACGAAGGGGGCUAGCGUUGCUCGGAAUCACUGGGCGUAAAGGGCGCGUAGGCGGCGUUUUAAGUCGGGGGUGAAAGCCUGUGGCUCGACCACAGAAUGGCCUUCGAUACUGGGACGCUUGAGUAUGGUAGAGGUUGGUGGAACUGCGAGUGUAGAGGUGAAAUUCGUAGAUAUUCGCAAGAACACCGGUGGCGAAGGCGGCCAACUGGACCAUUACUGACGCUGAGGCGCGAAAGCGUGGGGAGCAAACAGG